CAAUGAAUAGCUCAAGGGUAGAGCACGGAACUUAGGAUUCCGCAGUUGCAGGUUCGAAUCCUGCUUCAUGA
rnacentral:tRNA from 1 species